rnacentral:lncRNA from 1 species
AACUUGCUGCUCAUGCACUUCAUAGGCAUGGUUUUUUAUUUGACAAAACAGCUCUCUGCUCCAAGAUCUUCCUCUUCUACUCUGUAACAAUGCGAGUAUUUGGUUAUCGGGAUAUUCAAGAGGAUGCGAGUGUUUUUGUUUUUUCGCUCAUAAUUCUUUAACAUAUUAAACCCUAUGGUUUGUUCUUGUAUAGAUUCUUAAUUGCCUUUUUCUAAUCGAAAUGGAUUAAUCAAGCUGCAGUAUUAGUCAAUUAAAGCAUUAUUAUGACUCCUUCUCGAAAAGGAAAAAAA